rnacentral:rRNA from 1 species
AUUGAACGCUGGCGGCAGGCCUAACACAUGCAAGUCGAACGAGUGGCGGACGGGUGAGUAAUGUAUGAGAAACUGCCUGAUGGAGGGGGAUAACUACUGGAAACGGUAGCUAAUACCGCAUACCAUCAGAUGUGCCCAGAUGGGAUUAGCUUGUUGGGUGGGUAACGGCUGACCAAGGCGACGAUCACUAGCUGGUCUGAGAGGAUGCUCAGCCACACUGUGACUGAGACACGGCCCUGAAUCCUAAGGGAGGCAGGAGUGGGGAAUAGUGCACAAUGGGCGCAAGCCUGAUGCAGCCAUGCCGCGUGUAUGAAGAAGGCCUUCGGGUUGUAAAGUACUUUCAGAGGGGAGGCGUUACCCGCAGAAGAAGCACCGGCUAACUCCGUGACAGCAGCCGCGGUAAUAC